rnacentral:rRNA from 1 species
ACGAACGCUGGCGGCAUGCCUAACACAUGCAAGUCGAGCGAGACCUUCGGGUCUAGUGGCGCACGGGUGCGUAACGCGUGGGAACCUGCCUUUAGGUUCGGAAUAACUCAGAGAAAUUUGAGCUAAUACCGGAUGAUGUCUUCGGACCAAAGAUUUAUCGCCUUUAGAUGGGCCUGCGUUGGAUUAGCUAGUUGGUGGGGUAAAGGCCUACCAAGGCGACGAUCCAUAGCUGGUCUGAGAGGAUGAUCAGCCACACUGGGACUGAGACACGGCCCAGACUCCUACGGGAGGCAGCAGUAGGGAAUAUUGGACAAUGGGCGAAAGCCUGAUCCAGCAAUGCCGCGUGAGUGAUGAAGGCCUUAGGGUUGUAAAGCUCUUUUACCCGAGAUGAUAAUGACAGUAUCGGGAGAAUAAGCUCCGGCUAACUCCGUG